CCUACGGGUGGCAGCAGUGGGGAAUAUUGCACAAUGGGGGAAACCCUGAUGCAGCGACGCCGCGUGAGCGAUGAAGUAUUUCGGUAUGUAAAGCUCUAUCAGCAGGGAAGAAAAUGACGGUACCUGACUAAGAAGCCCCGGCUAACUACGUGCCAGCAGCCGCGGUAAUACGUAGGGGGCAAGCGUUAUCCGGAUUUACUGGGUGUAAAGGGAGCGUAGACGGGGGUGCAAGCCAGAUGUGAAAGCCUGGGGCUCAACCCCGGGACUGCAUUUGGAACUGUGAGUCUAGAGUGUGGGAGAGGCAGGCGGAAUUCCUGGUGUAGCGGUGAAAUGCGUAGAUAUUAGGAGGAACACACAUGGCGAAGGCGGCCUGCUGGACGAUGACUGACGUUGAGGCUCGAAAGCGUGGGGAGCAAACAGGAUUAGAUACCCGUGUAGUC
rnacentral:rRNA from 1 species